ensembl:lncRNA
AUGGAACAUUCUGGAAUGCUGUUUGUGAUGAAGUCACACAGUAGUUCGUUAGCUUCUGUCCGGUGCUCUGUGGCUGGCAUCAACCCAGGUUUCCCAUCGGUCCUCCUGUGGGUUGGGCAGACACUGACAAGCCUGCUCUCGGUGCAUGGGGCAGGGGUAAGGUGGGCUGCCUGCCUGGAGGGAGGGUGUCUGGGUGGGGAGCUUGUAGCCAGACCUUGGACCACUGGCUGGAUGGCUACAAUGACUGAACCUGAGUCUGAUCUCAUUUCAGAAUGCUCUGCAUAUAGUCUGCAGUACCUAAUGUACUUCUGCAUAAUGUUUAAUUGGGGAUCUGUUCCUUCCAGGUUCUGUUCCAGCCUGACCACUGGAGAACUGUUGCUGCACGACCUCAAGGUUUCUGCCCCUCUUGUUGAGGUCCUGGUGUCUGCAGGGUUUGGAAAGAUCUGGUUGGCUGCUGAAGUGUUGCUGUGCUGGCGGAGUGUGAAGCUCUCCUGUUUUACACCGGCAAGCCCUCUUGCACUCCUGAUUGGUUAG